rnacentral:rRNA from 1 species
UUGUCGCAGGUAGACUUAUUUUGGUUGUUAGUAUAACUUGCUUGUAUGUUUGUAGUAAGAAAAAUAUUUUUGGGAUUAGUAUGAGAGAGAAAUUAAGGUUAGGCAAUAGAGUAUAGUACCGUAGGGGAAAGUUGAGAUAUUAGGGGUAAUUAAGUUAGAAGUAUAAGUGAAAUUUAGUACCUUGUGUAUUAGGGGUGUUUUAUGUUAGGUAGUUAAUAUUUUAUUUUUCCCGAAAUAAGGAUAGCUAAGUUAGGAAGUGAGUUUUUGUUGUAUAAAAAUUUGUAAUUUUAUCUUAGUAGUGAAAUGUUAAUCGGGCCUUAAGAUAUCUGGUUUUCUUUGAAAAAAAUUAAAUUUUUUCUUUAUGUUAGGAGUUGGGUAGAGCAUUGGGGUGGGGGGGUAAAGCCCCUUAUUCGAGAUUUUUAAUUAUAGAGAUAAAUAAGGUUGAUAUUGAGCUAGGCUUAGAAGUAGCUAUGCUUUGCAAAUGGUUAUACUUGAGGUAGGUGUUUAAAAAUAUUUAUUUAUUUUUUAUAGUAGUAGGAGAAAGUUGGUUUAAAGUUGAAUUUAAUAGUUUAAAAUGAGUGUAUUAGUAUAUUAUAUUGUUAAUAGUUUUUAUUUAGGGGGAUUAAUAAAUUUAUGGUGGAAGGGACGAAAUGAAGGAAUUCGGCAAAUAAUUGUUUCCGCCUGUUUAUCAAAAACAUGUCUGUAUGAUAGGUAUAUAAGGUCUGGCCUGCCCGCUGAAGGUUUUUAAGGGCCGCGGUAUUAUGACCGUGCGAAGGUAGCAUAAUCAUUAGUCUUUUAAUUGGAGGCUGGAAUGAAUGGUUAGACGAGAAAUUAACUGUCUUGAAUUUUGAAAUUUGAAUUUAACUUUUAAGUGAGAAGGCUUAAAUGGGCUAGGGGGACGAUAAGACCCUAUAAAGUUUGUACAUUAGGCUAAUUAAGAGUGAUUUAGAUUUAUAAGGCUUUAUUAUUAGGGGGUGUUAAGUUGGGGCGACUAGGAUAUAAUUUAUAUAACUGUUUCUUUAUUAUAAUCAGAAAUAUUUGAGUUUAUGAUCCUUUUUUAGGAUUUUUAGAGUAAAUUACUUUAGGGAUAACAGCGUAAUUUUUUUUGAGAGUUCAUAUCGAUAAAAGAGUUUGCGACCUCGAUGUUGAAUUAAAAUUUCUUUGUGAUGCAGCAGUUACAUGAGAAGGUCUGUUCGACCUUUAAAAUUUUACAUGAUUUGAGUUCAGACCGGCGUGAGCCAGGUUGGUUUCUAUCUCCUAGAUAGGUUAGAAUUAUUUUAGUACGAAAGGAUUAAAUAAUUGAAAUAGUUUUGAAGAGAUAAGGAAUAAAAUUUUUUAGGUUUAUUGGCAUUUAUUAUAAAUCAGUAA